AGCAGUAGCCGCGGGAACACGUAGGUGGCAAGCGUUGUCCGGAAUUAUUGGGCGUAAAGCGCGCGCAGGCGGAUAGGUCAGUCUGUCUUAAAAGUUCGGGGCUUAACCCCGUGAUGAGAUGGAAACUGCCAAUCUAGAGUAUCGGAGAGGAAAGUGGAAUUCCUAGUGUAGCGGUGAAAUGCGUAGACAUUAUGAAGAACACCAGUGGCGAAGGCGACUUUCUGGACGAAAACUGACGCUGAGGCGCGAAAGCCAGGGGAGCGAACGGGAUUAGAUACCCCUGUAGUCCCUGUCUCUUAUAAA
rnacentral:rRNA from 1 species